rnacentral:lncRNA from 10 species
CAAAUAUGACCAAACAUCUAUUUGAAAAACACCCAGAUUGUACAGCAUUGCCAGGAAUGUAAACCUGACAAACCACAGCAGAGCAGCACAGCUGACAGUUGGGGCAGAGGUGGAUGUGCUUACGUGCCUGGAUCCUCGUGUUUACACAGGGAGGAGUCAAUCUGAUGAAUUUAGCAAAAGGUUUAAAUGAGGAAACUCAAGCUGUAAUCUCUAGGAAACCAGAAGGAAUACUAUAAUCAAAACAGGGAAGAGAGGAGAGGGUGUGGUGGAGAAUGGAGCUAACUUCUUUAUUCUUUACAAACACCAGAUGCAGCCUAUACACCAAGAAGCUGUCUUCAGGACACCUCCAGGACAAAAACCAGGAAUGCCUACAAGGGGUACUGCAGGAAAACGGGAAGAGAGAAGUGCUGGGAAUGCAGGGGCAAAACCACAUUUGUUCUAUCCACUGCUUCUUGUGGUACAGCCUAUGAGCCUGCACAGGAAGCAAAAGGAAAACUGAAAGUCUCUGAAGAGAUUAUCCAAAAGAAGAAAAUUAUUCCCUGUGGAGUGAGUCGCCCUAACUCAGGAGGCUGCUGAAACAAGUGGCAGAACAGAACAAUGAAUCCCAUUGUAUACUGAAUUCUUAAUGCCACAGUAUCUAAGAAGGCUUGCCUUAUUACUUAGCUAUGCAUUAUCAACAUAAAGUGUUUAUACAAGAAAACUGUAUAGAAAUGUAUACUGUUAUCUAUGACCUGAAAAACAUGUUUUAUAACUGAGAUAUUUUAGAUAAAUAUAUGUUUAAAAAAUUAAACUCAACUUUCAGGAGAAAUGAAAAUUAUAAAUACAAUUUUUUUUGUCAUUGCAUCUUAAAACUUCCUUAAAAAUGCUUCCAGCAAUAUGCAAAGUUCAGACAAAAUUCUAUUAAAUUAAAAGUAUGUUUGGCAAAAAUUUUCAAGGAUGUCGAUACAUAUAUCAAAUGGUGGUAAAGAACAGCAAAUUUGCCCUGUGCCAGUCACACAUGUAAGAACUUGAGAAAUUUGAUUAGAAAUACUCAACAAAAUGUUUAGAUGUGAAAUCAAAGAGACACUGGAGACUAUUACAAAAUGUAAGCACACUUCUAGUUGAGCAUCACUAUCUGAGUUACAAUAUUACUUGAAAUAUCUUUUGACUUCCCCUCACCAAAAAAAGAAAAAAAAAAAACCUCUUAAGAUGAAAAAGUACUUUGUAGAAGUCAUUAACACUGGUUAAGAGCUAUAUCGGCCAUAAGUAGGGGGAAAAAUACCCAAAGUGUAUUUCCAACAAAUUUAGCAAAAUGACGAGGUAAAUCUUCAAUAUGAGGCAGGGACUGCAGAUUCUAUUCUUCUGCUCCACGAGAUACAGACUUUCUACUCAGGGUUAUGAUGUCAAGUAAUGAAUAAAAAAGAAAAAUAGAGAAAGAUGUAGAUAGUUAAAAAAAAAUUAAAAAGGGUAUGUAAGGUUAGAAGUACUAAGGAAGUGACACAGUUAAGGAAAACUCUGGCCAAAACUAGUCUGAAGGAACACUGAUGCUAUCCCAAUUUCAAUAAUAGAGACACAAUAUGCAGAUGAUAAAACUGUCAGAGUCUGGCUUGCCAUUUCAGUUUUCUGCAAUUUACUAAAUUAACAUUUAAAGUGCAAUGUAGGGUUAUCCUUAAUAUUUUUAUACUACAGGUAGUAUUUCUGUGUUACUUUUCAUGACUUAUCAGUGCUUUACUGUUUAAUAUGCAUUUAUUAUAUAUCCCCUAUAAAUCAUAGAGAAGAAAUGGAAGAAAUAAGUUUCACAUAAACAAAAGCCCAGUUGAGGCCACUGAAGUGAAACACAUCCACUCUGAUGUGGAAGCCAAUGUGAUGAGUGAAACACAAUGUAGUUCAAUAUUAAAAAACCCUAUGUUUUGGAAAGUAGGAAUUUUAAGCUAUUCCAACGUUUACUUACUAUAACACACUAAUUUUUUUUCUAUUUCAUUCUCAUUAAUACAGAGGUGACAUGUAACAAAGAAAAAUAAAAACAUAGAAAAAUGUUAUUUUUUUUCAUUUUAAUG